rnacentral:rRNA from 1 species
CCUACGGGAGGCAGCAGUGGCGAAUAUUGCACAAUGGGCGCAAGCCUGAUGCAGCCAUGCCGCGUGUAUGAAGAAGGCCUUCGGGUUGUAAAGUACUUUCAGCGAGGAGGUAGGCAUUAAGGUUAAUAACCUURGUGAUUGACGUUACUCGCAGAAGAAGCACCGGCUAACUCCGUGCCAGCAGCCGCGGUAAU